CCUUUACAUCAGCUAUGUGUCAUGUGAGGGGAAUUAAAGGGAAUUGUACAGUAAAGUUAUAAAACGCCAUUACUUUCACUUUGCAUACACAGAGAGCUUGAUAACAGAUUGCUGGGAUCUGUCCACUUGUGCCAAGAAAUUCGCUUUAGCUCAGGGUGUAACAGCAGGCGAAUGUGAAAUCUUUGCUUUGUGCUAAAGUCAACAGUAGCAUUGAGAGUCCCAAUAAAUUCAGUGUGGUGCCCAGACUGACUGCAGCUUCAAUCGUCUGCUUGCUGGUGUCACCAUCUACUAAUCCACAGCAGAGGUAUCAGGUUCUGCACCUGAGAAUCUAGACAAUGCUACACUUAAGGCAACAUGAAGUGCUCUGCCACGUCAUCUUAUUGUACAUAAAGUGGUACUGACGAAUGACGAUGCUAACUCUGUGCGGCUCAAGAUGUUGCCAUGUGCUCCAAGUUCAUUUGAAAGAACCAAAAAAAAGAAUAAAAUGGA